rnacentral:rRNA from 1 species
AUUAUGGAUAGAUAGCUAUAUAUUAAAGAGGGACAUAUAUAUUAUGUUGAUCCAACAUAAAUGCCAAAAAACAUACUCACUUGCUUAGUUAUAGCAUGAACUCUUAGUUGAAAUUCAAUAAAAAAACGAAGUGAAUUGAAAUAUCUUAUUAACUUCAGGAAUAUAAAUCAAACGAGAUUCUACAAGUAGUGUGAAUGAAAGUAGAAAAGCCUUAAAGUAAAAUGGAGUGCAUACCUGUUUGAAUAUAAAGGGGAAUCUUCCUCUAAGGCUAAAUAUAAUAUAUAAGCGAUAGCGAUACAAAGUACCGUGAGGGAAUAUCUUGAAAUAGUGGUUUUAUAAGCAGCUCAAGUAAAUUUUAAAUAAUAAGAGCGUACCUUUUGCAUAAUGGGUCAGUAAGUUAAUAUUAGAUGCGAGCAGUAAUGCGAAGAUAAACCAAUUGUGAAAGAAUGAUUUAGUAUCUAAAAUUAGACCCGAAGCCUAGUGAUCUUACCAUGAUCAGGAUUAUAAAAGUCCGAACGGUUUAUCGUUGUAAUGAUAUCCGAAGAAUUGUGGUAAGUUAGUGAAAGACAACACUGACUAGGAUAGCUGGUUUUCCGCGAAACCUAUAUUUGUAGGUAAUUUUAAUAACAUCAAAGCAGGUACAGAAUUGUGAUCUCAUGCAACUUUUAUAUUAAUUUAACAUUAAUGUACUUUUUGUGGACAUUGGGGGAUCGUGAAGAUUUUAUCAGUGAGUAUUUGUUCUCGGAAGGGCUUAGAUGAAUAUUGAAUAAUCAGACAUAGUACGAUAAGGUUGUAUGUCUAAAGGGAAAGAGCCCAGAACAAGAGUUAAUAAGGUUCCAAAAUUAUUGUUAAGUGAAAUAAAGGUAGUUUUUGUCCUAUUCGAUCAGGAAAUGGGCUUAGAAGCAGCCAUUUUUUAAAGACCUCGUAAUAGAGCACUGAUUAUACAGAAACAGAAAAAGACUUAGUGGACAAGAGCAUCUAAAAUUUAACGGAUCUAAAUAAUAUACCGAUACCUUGUACAUAUAGAUACAAAUAAAACGAAGCUUUGCCUAUUAAAGCUAUUCCAAUUUUCCUUAUAUUGCUUUUGUACUUUUUUUUCUUUUUUAUAACCGUGUGCUUUUUUUAAAAAUAAUAAAACUAUAAUAAAUAAUAAAUAAUAAAUAAUAAAUAAUAAAUACUAAAAUUUUACGUAUUUGCUUUUUCUUCUAGCUAUCCAAUUAUAUAGUCUAUAUGGGGUAGCGGAACGUUGGGUAAUUAUUAGAUUAUUUCUAUUUAAGAUUUAAAGAUAUCUAAAUCCCAAGUGAUAAUGCUGACAUGAGUAACGAUAAAGGAUAAUAUCCUCGCCUAAAGUUUAAGGAAGCUAAUUAUGUAACGGCCUCUAAGUUAUAGUUCUAACGUGCUAAACGAUGGAAAAAUCAUUGAAUAAAUAACAACUUUUGUUUUUUUGAGUAAAAGAGAUAUCUAUCUCAAAAAAUUGUGACAAAUGUUCUGGAAAAAAGAUGCUUUAAACCGUGCCUAGAAUCUAACACAAGAAAACUAGUAGAGAAUACGAAGGCGUUCGAGUGAACAAUCAUUAAGGAACUCGGCAAAUUGACUCGCGUAACUUCGGGAGAAGGUGGGCCAUUCCUGCUUAUUUAUAAAGUUAGGAAGAGGAGGCACAGAAUGGUGCUGUACGACUGUUUAAUUAAAACACAACACACUGCAAAGAUAAAAAUCGAAGUAUAGGGUGUGAUGUCUGCCCGAUGGCGGCUGGUUAACGGAUUUGCUUAGUUGAUUAAGUUAGGCUUUGAAGGAACCCCCGUUCAAUGGCAGCCUUACCUAUGAGGGUUCUAAGGUAGCGAAAUACCUUGGCCGUUAAAUGCGGUCUUGCAUGAAUGAUGUAACGAUACAGCAGCUGUCUCAAUGAUUGGCUCGGUGAAAUUGGAAUAACUGUGCAGAUACAGUUUACCUCUAGAUAGACGAGAAGACCCUAUGCAGCUUUACUGUUUCUAGUUAUUUGGUAUGAUAUAACCGGUUUUAGUGUAUAAGGUAGUUGGUAAGAUAUAAUUGAAACACCUUUACUUGGUUUAUCAUAUUGUAUCACCUUAAAAGUGGAACAUUUGCUAGGUGGCAGUUUAUGCGGGGAACAGAUCCCAUAAAUAGUACCUGGGUGUAUCCAAAUUAAAUAGUUAAUUAAAUGAUAGUUUUUAUUACUUAUUAAGUUUAAUGGCUCAAUCUUGCUUUACUGAUUGACUUACACGUCUUUCAGUCGCGUAAGCGGGGCAUAUGAUCACAAGACGCUUAAAGAAAAGGUCUUGGAUUUUCGAAAAAGUUACGCUAGGGAUAACAGGCUAAUUGCGCCAGAGAGCUCAAAUUGGGUGCGCAGUUUGGCACCUCGAUGUCGGCUUAGCUUAUCCACAUGAAUGCAAGGGUCAUGAAGGGUGCGACUGUUCGUCGAUUAAAAAGCUACACGAGCUGGGUUAAAUACGUCGUGAGACAGUAUGGAUUCUAUCUUCUAGAGGGAUUUAGAAUAAAAUAAGGAUAGCCCCUGGUACGAAAGGAGAAGGGUAUGUUAAUCUAUGGUUUACCUGUUGUUUGUGUACCUAUAUUAAAAUAAUAUAACUUAGACGUUAUCUCUAUGAUUUAUAGUGGGGUUUACUUAUCACUAAAGUAAUGCUAGACACAGGCACGGCAGGAAUGCUACGUUAGUUAUAGAUAAGAGCUGAAUGAAUAUAGGCAUGAAACUUACCUUAAGAUAUUCUUAUAAACACGUAGUUUAACACUACGAUUUUAAAUAACAUCUAUAAAAUAUAAUUAUAAAAAACAAAAACAAACUUAUUUAAUUAAUAGGCUUAAGUUGAAAUAAUUGUGAGAUUGUUAGGCAUUAAGUACUAAUUUUU